AUAGAAACCCGGCUGAGUGUCCAGGAGCCCCGGAACUUGGACCCACCCUGGAUGGGCCUGCAGGGCGCCCAGCCUCUCCAGGCCAGCUCUAAAUGCAGGCACUCAGGAGCCGCCUCUGUGCUGCCUGGGGUGGCGGUUCUGUCCCCCAGGGUGCGUGAGAUACCGUCCAUGCUUGAACUCGGGAAGUCUGGUUAAGUGGUCGGCUCUGAUGUGUGUCUGGGCCGUGCUGGGUUAGUGCCCUGCCCCUUGGAUGGGGUACAGGGCCUGGCCAGGGGACUGGCAGGAGAGGGGCUGGCCCAGGCUGGUCCCAACAUCCGGGACCAUCUCGCAGGCAUGUGCUGAUGCCCCAAGGAGGCUGGCUCAGCACAGGUUCUGAAGCCGGGACACACUCGGAGCCCCGCCCGCCCAUGAGGCCCCCUGAUGCAGGAAUGAGGGGGCCGCCCUUUUGGGAGGUACAAACUCAGGUGCCCAUGGCCUGAGCUGCCAUGUGCCACACAGCCCGAACUCUGCGGUGGCCAAGGCGGGCGAGGCAGCACCGCCCCUCUGGGGCCGGGUGAGGGGAACAGGUGCCAUCCCAGGCCAGCAGGGCCAGCGCCCCUCACCCCCCUAGGAGGGACCCCUCCCUUUGGGCCCACGCCUCCCACUAAGAACAAAAACGAAAAAACAAUUCUGACGCCAGCUGGGAUCUGAGGACACCUGGGCAACAGGCUCGCUUCUUUUUGGAACUCCUGCUGACCAUGGCUGAGGUGGGCUGGGGGGUGGGGGGAGCUCCCUGGUGGGGGAGCCUGGGAAGGUUCCCGCCACGAGAGGGUGCUGUGGCCCCCCAGGCUGUUGGUCCCUCCCCUCCCCUCCACCUGUUCAAUGGUCUGGGGGAGAUUUACAAGUCUCCCAGCCCCAGGUGGGGGCAGGUGGGGUGCUGGGGGCAGCGAGGUGCAGAUGCCAGGAGACCCCAGGCCAGGGGCUCCCCCUCCUGGACCCCACUUCAUGCAUCAGUAAAUUAAGAGGUGGGGCUGGAGCCCUAGUACAUUCUGCAACCUCUCCGGUGCGCCCGUCACCCGGGCUCAGGCCCUACGAUGGGCACCAGCUUCCCGAGAUGGCCUUGCCAGAAACCAGCUCCACGAGGUCCCUAGACAUCCGAGCCGUCUGCUUGGGGAAUGGGUGUGCGAGGCCGUCUGGGUCUGCUCCCCACGCCUCUGACACAUGGUCAUUCAGAGGUCAGCUGGAGGACUUCGCGGCAGGUCUGCCGUCUCUAACAGACUCCUGGGGUCUCCGUGAUCCAGGUCUGCAUUCCUCGCCCUGCCACACAGCUCGACUGUGUCCGGCAGGCGGUCCUGCCCCCUCCCCGGCGGGGCCCAGCCGGCCCUGGGACUUCCGGGUGGUUGGCUGCGGGAGCUGACGGCAGGCUCUGAGCAAAUGAUGGGGGAGGCAGGAAGGACAAGGCGGCGUGGGUCUGGGAGCCAAGGAGGGGUGCCCCACAGCACACUAGACAGGAGGGGACCACAGGGGCUUCGGGUGGGAAGGGCGAUGAAGGGAGCUGAUGCUGAUGAGGUGGGGGAGGAGGGGCAGCAGCUGACCCCAGCCCUGACCGUCAGAAGGGCUGGGCGCUUCCUGCAGACCCCAAGUCUGCCCCUGGAUGCUGCUUCAGCCCAUCUGACGGUCAGGGUGGGACGGCCAGUAAUUCAGAAAUGCCCACGGUGACUGACAGGCCCCGGGCUUGGGGUCAUGGCACCCUCCCACACCCUGUGCUUGCUCUGCCCUCGCCUCAGCACACCUGAGGGGAUCCCCCCACUCGAGGUUCUCUGCGCACAUUCACACCCACAACCACAUUUGCACCCGGGGGGUGUGGCUCCAUGACAGAUAGGGAAACUGAGGCCCUGGGAGAAGGGGUCUGUAGCAGAACCCAGGCUAGACCUGAUGGCAGGCUGACUGCCUCCCUGCAGACGCUCUCUCCUAUGUGCCAGACAGCCCCCCCAAGGCCGCAUCCUGUCUGCCAUGGCCGGCACGGCUGGCCGCCAGAUGAGCCCAGACACCCGCCUCCCACCCCCUGCGCUCCGAGUGCCCAGUGCCAGCGUCAGCUGGCCGAGGACACACACACAGACGAGGAGCGCCGCCCAGCACAUCCCCCCUUUGUUUGGGGUAAACACGGGCGCCUGGGGACAGGGGCAGGUGUCAUGGGCCAGUGGGUGUCAGAUGACCCCUCCAGUUGCAGGGACCAGGCGUCAGGCCACAGGCCACUCCCAGGGACAGGAGCCAGCCCUGGAGGCCUAGCCCAGGGCCUGCUGACCUGCAGACACACCUCCCAGCCGCUCUGCAGAGGUCCAGCUUGCCUGUCCCAGAGACCCCAUGUCCUCCCCCAGGUACAUGCCAGCAGGCAGUGGGGUCGGGGCAGAAGCACCCCAGCUGCCCUCCUUAGACUUGCAGCUCUGCCCGCAGUCUGCUCGGGGCUGAGGCCUGGUUUGGAAAGCCACUUGGAGGGGGGAGCUUGUCCAGGGUCCCCAUGGGAGCAUGGGGGAGAAUGCCUGUCCGCAGCCCAGUCUGGCUGCCCCCGUGGGGCCUCUGCCUCUGGGCUGCUCUCAGCCUCCCUGGCCCACGUGCCUGGUGCCCUGCAAGAGUAAGUGAGGAUCGUCCUGAACCCAGGGUGGCUGGGGGAUUCCUGGGCUGUCUCACCGUCUGCUCCACACUUGCUCAUCCCUUCCAUUGCCCUGGAGGACAGGCUGAGUCAGGCUGGGAGCUGGGCACAGAGGCAGGCCAUGCAUCGGCCCCUCGGAGCUCUGCCUGCCUCCAGGGUCUCCCCUCUGAUGGAGCCUGCGCUCAGGCACAGCUCUGAGCCUCCCAGGGAUGCGGAUGCCACUGUCGCCCCCAGCCCAGCCUGCUCUGCAGCAUCUGUAAGGGCCUCUCUCCACCAAAGGCCUCAUCACACCCUCCUCGCCUCCAUGUGGGACUCCGACAGGGCUCCGUGUUGCUCCCGAUGGAGCACAUUCUGCAAGCCUCAUCCCCAUGCAUGUCCCCUGCCUCAAUCUCCUGCAUCUGCCCAUUCCUGCCCCUUCCACCACCCCUGGCCCGUGUACCCUGCCAUCUGCUUGGGAGGCCUUCCGCUGACCUCCUCUGAUCUGCCCGGGCCCCCGUCCCUCACGACCCGCUCAGCCACCACCCACUCUGUUCCUCCUCUGACCCCCACCACACGGUCCCCACUCUGCUCUGAACAGCUCCUUUGGCCUUGGGUUCCCAGGGAGGCACCUAGCCUGGCCUUUCAUCCCUGUGACACAACCCUCCCUGCCUCUGCCAUCGGCGGCACUGGGGGGCCGAGGAGAGUUAUCUCCUUGGCAGAGCCCCAGGCCUCUGAGCCCCAGACCCCUCUCCCUCACGUUCCCUGACUGUCUCUGACAGCGCUGCACCCCACACUCCUGGGCUGUUCCCGUGUCUCCCCCAGAGCACAGAGCCUGCCCGCCUCCCCCGGCCAGCUCACUUGGGAGAGGGACCACCUCCUCUGCCUCUGUGUCCAUCUCCAGCCCUGGUCUGUGGGCCGGACAACGUGACUGAGGGAGCAGAGAGGUGAACUGGGGGUGGGGCAGGCUGCUCGGGGGCUGUGGCUGUGGCCGGGUUGGGGGAGGAGGCCUCUUGGCAGCAGCUGCUGCAUGUUUAUCAGGACCAUGCACAUCACACAGCAAGGGGCUGCUCUCAGGGUGGGGAAACACUUAUGACUCACUCGUCUGAGUGGGACCCCAAAGUUCACCCACCCAUGCAGUGCCUCACCUUCUUUUGGUACCUGCUGGCAGGCUCCUAUCACUCAUUCAUUCAUUCAUCCAACCCAAACAGAGCUGCUCUCUGCCCCGUGAGGCGGUGGGGCACGGCCUGGGAGGCAGGGGUCCUGGGCCCCUGGUGGUCUGCCCUGGCAGAUGUCCCUGCAGCCAGGAGCCGCUGUGCAGCCCUGGAGCCGGCCUCCCCUGCAGCCACCGCUGGGUGACCAGAGCCAUCAGAGGGCACAGACGUGGAGGGGAGGCUGCUUCUAGAAGCAACACCCGGCAUUUCCAGCCCAAGGCAGCCGCCCCGCUUCCCCCAGGAGGCCCCUGGACCGGCCCGGGGUCUGCAGUGGGGCAUUUCCUAAUACCCCCGUGGAGGGAGGUCCCAGAGCACUGACAAGCUGCAAGAUGAGGCCCCCAAUGAGUGAGGCCACUGUGUGCAUCGCCACAGCUCUCCAGCAGCAGCUUGAGGCUGGCUGGCCCUUCCUGGGGGGCCACCCUGGUGGGAGACAGCCCUGGCUAGACGAGGUGGUGGCAUGUGAGCUCACAGUGGAAACCAAGAGAAACCCACCCCGGUACCCUUGUGCUGAGAGUGGUCAGCACCCAGAGCCCAGCACUGCCUGCUCUGCCGUUGGAAGGAGGGGAAUUUUCAAUCCCAGCCAGCGAGCGCUGAGACCUGGCCGGCCCGGUCGGGGGGCCCAGCACCUCUGACGAAGGUGAUUGGGAAGCGGAGGGAGGGUUGGGAGUGAAGGGCUGGUGACCUGGGGCCUGGGGCAGGGCGCUGCAGGGGAGACCAAGGCCACAACGGCCAGUCCAGGCAAGCAGCCCAGAGGCUCCUAUCGGGAGGGGGUGGGGGUCAAGCAGCAGGAAGGACACUGGGCAGACACAGAAAGAGGGAGCCCGGUGGACAUGUGGGGACUUCUAGGAGGGGUGGGCAGAGCUCCCAGCCGAAUGGCUAUGCACAGAGCGCACAGAGAGUGGGCAGGGCCUGGCCUGCUGACUCGGGCGGCAGAACAGGGAGGGCCCGGUUCCAGAACCAUCUCCACAGCUGGAAGGAGGGCUGGGCAGCCUCAAGAUGAGGGCUAAGGGAAUCUGUUCCUGAGAAAUGAAAACAGACAUCCACACAGACCAGCAUGCAGGUGUUCACAGCGGCACUAGUCACAAAGGCCUCCCGCUGGAAAUGACCCAAGUGUCUGUCAACAGAUGAAUGGAUGACAAAAUGUGGCCUGUCCACACACAGAAUGAAAGGGAAUGGAGGACCGACACAUGCUCCAGCCCGGAUGAAUCUUGAAAGCAUGCUAAAUGAAAUAAGCCCGUCACAAAGGGUCACAUA